rnacentral:lncRNA from 1 species
AAAUAAUAAAUUGAUAAAAAGAUGAAUAUGACUAGACUUUAAAUAGUAAAAAAUACUUACUUCCCUUUAUUCUUUCUUUCAAACAUUUCAAGACUAAAAGAAAAGUUACCUUUCUUUAUGUCACAUCUCAAGAAAAGUAGGUUGAUUUAAUUUAUGAAUGUUCCACAUUUCAAAACCAAAUCUUUAACUUUGAUAUAUGUUAGCUUUUACAACGUUCCAAUUAAAACGGUCCACAUUUUUAAAUUUACACUGACACUAUAUAUCAGGACAUUCAUAUUGAGGGGGGAGAUGGACUUUAUUCUCUUUUCAAUCAAAAAAGACAUACAACAAAGAUCUUGGUUCACUUGCUCUAUCUCUUACCCCUCUUUCUCUCUAUCUACUCUCUCCUCUCUCUAACCCCACAUCUCUUUCAAGACCACCAUCGCCGUCGAAUCCCAUCAGUAAAAGUCGUUCCCCAACGCUAUCAUUGCAAUAACGGUGACCAACCAACGACCCUCCUUCUUCCUCCUCCGUUUGCUCUUGGCUCGUCGGAGGUGAUUGUCGGCGAGAUCUAGUCGAGAAAACAACUACGAAUGCCCUCUUUUUCUUUUUCUCCGACCAACAUCCCACGGUUCACCGAAACUGUGGCAGCUCUGUCCGUUUUUGCGAUUCCGGCGUUGCUCUGGCGAAAGACGUUGAAGUAACACUGAUGGUCACUGCUACUUUAUGUUUUUCUUUAUCUCCGGUGUUAAUCCCUGAACAUUAGAUAUGUCUAAGAUCGCGCCUCUUUUCUCUUUAUUUUUUAUUAUAUUUUUUUUGUGAAUAUUUGUUUUGUAGUUGUACUGAAUAAUGGCCUCUGGCGAUAUUGGUAUUUGUUUUAUGUUUGCAGAGGAGUUAUUCUUCUUUAUUGAUGUUGCUUUGCUGGAGUUUGGUAUGAAAAUAAAAUAAGAAUUUUAUUCUUUGGAUUGCUAUUUGAUAUUAUUUGCCUUUACAGAUUGGUCCACUUUGUUUAGUGUGGUACUUUAUAAAUUGAACUUUGUUUUGUGCAGGAAUUUUAUUCUUUAAAUUGCUAUUUAAUAUUAUUUGCUUUUACAGUGGGUCCACCUUGUUUAGUAUCACUUUUUAUUUAUUGGUAUUUUAUAAAUUUGGACUAUUUUAUCGUUUUAUAUUUAUUAGACUAAUAAUGAAUAAGACACUACAUAUUAUGGCCAAUGAAAAAAUUAUUAUUAAUUUUGAGACCUCCGUAAAUAAAAGACGGAUUUUAUGUAUACAAAUACAUAAUAAAUAAAUAUUUUUUGGACGAUGAUGAAACUUUAUAACAACACAAGAUUUUACAACUCAUAUUCUGGCAAGACGAUUUAGG